rnacentral:sRNA from 1 species
AGGAGAGUGGAGCGAGGGGAGAAAUGCACACCCAACAGAUGGAAACGCAGAUGAACAUACUGGCGGAGUUUAUUGGCCCAGAGUUAAAACAAUACUUUGACAGAGGCAAGGUCAAAGCUAACUGGUAGAGUUUCUAGAACAUAACAAUGGAUCAGAAACGUUACAGAAUGCUCCGGUUAUAAUUAACUUCGGCUGUGUACUUAACCGUUACCGUUCUGAACGGCCUUGGCCCCGAGUUGCUCCCGUGGCCAUCCUAACUCUCCGUUAAUGUUACUAAAUUACUCAGUUGUCACUGUCCACAGUGAAGGAGCAGCAAGGGCUCGGGCUGGCAGGGUCGUUGUCCCUGAAGCCCUGCGCUUCCUUUCCCCAGCUGUAACGGACUCAAGUAAAGAGUCUUCAGCUCUGGGUCUUGAAAGCCCUUAGAUCACGAUAAUGAAAUUUCAGCCAAGCAAUCUCGCAAAUGGAAGCGCUGUGAACUGCUUGGCCUGACCCUCAGUCUUUGCCCUUUUGCAGAAUCUAAGCAUUUGCUUGUGGCCUUUAUCUUCACUCUGGAAGCUUGAGAAAACUGCACAGCGAACAGAGUCACUACACAGCUAGCCCCAGUUGUUCAUGCACAUUACAGAGAGUCACCAAAAAUCUAGGUGGCUUCUUCCACAGGCAAGACAAUGACGUAACAGCUGUCAGAUUGCCCCUUCUGCCAGAGUGAACCCAACCCAAAGAAACAGAAAGCAGAGACAGCGAUGAAAGAAUGGCAUUUACACCUUCAGCAUGGGGAGCACGAGGCAGCAAUUCCUGAGCACAGAGGAAAAUGGGAGAUGUGUUACCCAGGGUCCAGCUUGCAGGGAUUAGCAGUGUUUGCAGUGUACAUGCACAAGACUAAAAAAAGAAUGAUCACACCAAGCUAUGAUGGUAAUAAGAAGUGUCAAAGUAUGUUCAAGACUUUUAUGUCAGAAAAUGGAAAAAAAA